rnacentral:rRNA from 1 species
CCUACGGGAGGCAGCAGUGAGGAAUAUUGGUCAAUGGGCGCGAGCCUGAACCAGCCAAGUCGCGUGAGGGAUGAAUGCUCUACGGAUUGUAAACUUCUUUUAUAAUGGAACAAAGUGAGGGACGCGUGCCGUUUCGCAUGUACUUUAUGAAUAAGGAUCGGCUCAAUCCGUGCCAGCAGCCGCGGUAAUACGGAGGAUCCUAGCGUUAUCCGGAUUUAUUGGGUUUAAAGGGAGCGUAGAUGGCGUGUUAAGUCAGUUGUGAAAGUUUGCGGCUCAACCUUAGAAUUGCAGUUGAUACUGGCGGGCUUGAGUACGGGUGAGGUAGGCGGAAUGCGUGGUGUAGCGGUGAAAUGCUUAGAUAUCACGAAGAACUCCGAUUGCGAAGGCAGCUUACUAGACAGCCACUGACAUUGAGGCUCGAAAGCGUGGGUAUCAAACAGGAUUAGAUACCCGAGUAGUC